rnacentral:rRNA from 1 species
GGGGUGAUGGGCGAGCCUGAUCAGCCAUGCCGCGUGUGUGAAGAAGGUCUUCGGAUUGUAAAGCACUUUAAGUUGGGAGGAAGGGCAUUAACCUAAUACGUUAGUGUUUUGACGUUACCGACAGAAUAAGCACCGGCUAACUCUGUGCCAGCAGCCGCGGUAAUACAGAGGGUGCAAGCGUUAAUCGGAAUUACUGGGCGUAAAGCGCGCGUAGGUGGUUUGUUAAGUUGGAUGUGAAAUCCCCGGGCUCAACCUGGGAACUGCAUUCAAAACUGACUGACUAGAGUAUGGUAGAGGGUGGUGGAAUUUCCUGUGUAGCGGUGAAAUGCGUAGAUAUAGGAAGGAACACCAGUGGCGAAGGCGACCACCUGGACUAAUACUGACACUGAGGUGCGAAAGCGUGGGGAGCAAACAGGAUUAGAUACCCG